rnacentral:lncRNA from 1 species
AUAAAUCAAAGUGCGGAAAAGAAACGUAGAUAAACGCGGCCUUCACAGGCAGCCGACUGGGGGUUGCCGCUAACCCACACCUAGAACUCGUCGUAGUCUUGGAACUCCUGGAAGUCUCCUUCCACAGCUUCAUCUUCGCCUGAGCAGUGGUUGCAAUGCUGACAACCUGGGGAUGGGGGGGGGGGGGUUUGGUGUGUAGAGCAAGGGUGAGUACACAUCAACAUACUGAGCAAGUAUCCUGUUUGGCUGUAGUGGACUAGCUUUAUGUGGGGAUAAGUCAAGCAGUUGCUUUUAGUUGGUCAGAUUAUUAUUACUAGUAGAGAAAGCCAAGUUUUAGCAUUAACCCAAGUUAUUAGCCCGAUGUACCCUUUCCAAACGGAAAGAGUACCACUUACCAGCACCAUAGUCAUAACCAAAACCAUCGAUCUCAUAGCCACCGGUACCAAAGUAUCUCUGAUCAAGUACCACUAAUCACUGGAGCUCCCUUGGCCACUCAUAACCGCGAGCACGGCUGAUAUAUCAGUUUUCAAACACUCUACAGAGGUUGUGCACUUACCCCACAAGCCGUGAUUCCCUCUUGCCUCGGGCCGAUCAAACCCUUAAACACUACCAAGGUGAAUAGGCAGGGUUUCACUACGUAGCCUUUACAAAGAUUCCCCGGGGCUGUAGCCGCCCGUUAGGUUUCCUAAAUGUACCGCACUCCUCCCCAAGGNNNNNNNNNNNNNNNNNNNNNNNNNNNNNNNNNNNNNNNNNNNNNNNNNNNNNNNNNNNNNNNNNNNNNNNNNNNNNNNNNNNNNNNNNNNNNNNNNNNNUUACUGAUUAAUCCCCGUCGACACUACCUGGCCGACGGGAGUUACUGGGUCGACGGGAAUUAAUUGUUAAUUCUCGUCGGUUCGACCAUAGCCGACGGGAAUUAACUGGGCCGACGAGAAUUACCCUAUACUGCUACAAAACCAGCACUAAAUUAGGUCACUAUUUCUGCACAAUUGCACACAUACAUAUAUAUCACAAAGAACAGACACAUUACAAAUAAAUGCAUUCAUAAUCAAUUCACGCAUUACAAACAUAACAUCCACCAACAUAGUUUACACAAACAUUUCAAAUAGAAAGUACAACAUUAGUUCAAGUGUUUAGUUCCCGAAAAACAUAGAGUCAAUGAGUUACUAAUUAAUUGUUCAAGUGUUUAGAGAUAACCACCACUUGGGUGGUUAGAGCUUUGACCGCUGCCGCCACCCACCACCAGGAGGAGGGAACGCGAAGAGGGAGUCAACAAAUCCAGUCCCUGCUGUGGGAUCAGACCCACUACCACCCGCUUUGUUCUUCGAAGCAUUAUCUCCCUUCGAAUAUAAUGAAUUUCGGACGAAGGCUAUGAAGGACUAACCUUCGUAAACACAAUAAAUGAUGAAGAGGGAUUCAUACACAAGAUAUGAAAAAUAAUAUAAACGUUUUAAACAUUAUAAUCAACUUAUUUUUAUUUGUGUUACUGUAUCCAUAAUAAUAAAUUAUAAACGUACCUUCGGCUCAAAGGAAAGCAGGGGUACAAGAGUGAUGCAAAAGCGAAUGCCAAGUCAGCGUGAACAGUACGGGAAUACUGUUCACCUAUUUAUAGGCACGGGUCUGUCACACCCGGUUUUAGAAGGCAAACCGAAUGCGAACCAUGUACGUGCCAGGAUCAGUUAUUCACGUACACAGCAGUUACAUAACAUGGACAUCAUCACACAGUGCUCAAAAUAGUAUUAAAAGGGAAAUAAUAGUCGAUUACAUCAUACGUCUGAGACGUCCAUAUAGUUCUUACAAUAAAUCAAAGUGCGGAAAAGAAACGUAGAUAAACGUGGCCUUCACAGGCAGCCGACUGGGGGUUGCCGCUAACCCACGCCUAGAACUCGUCGUAGUCUUGGAACUCCUGGAAGUCUCCUUCCACAGCUUCAUCUUCGCCUGAGCAGUGGUUGCAAUGCUGACAACCUGGGGAUGGGGGGGGGUUUGGUGUGUAGAGCAAGGGUGAGUACACAUCAACAUACUCAGCAAGUAUCCUGUUUGGCUGUAGUGGACUAGCUUUAUGUGGGGAUAAGUCAAGCAGUUGCUUUUAGUUGGUCAAAUUAUUAUUACUAGUAGAGAAAGCCAAGUUUUAGCAUUAACCCAAGUUAUUAGCCCGAUGUACCCUUUCCAAACGGAAAGAGUACCACUUACCAGCACCAUAGUCAUAACCAAAACCAUCGAUCUCAUAGCCACCGGAACCAAAGUAUCUCUGAUCAAGUACCACUAAUCACUGGAGCUCCCUUGGCCGCUCAUAACCGCGAGCACGGCUGAUAUAUCAGUUUUCAAACACUCUGCAGAGGUUGUGCACUUUACCCACAAGCCGUGAUUCCCUCUUGCCUCGGGCCGAUCAAACCCUUAAACACUACCAAGGUGAAUAGGCAGGGUUUCACUACGUAGCCUUUACAAAGAUUCCCCGGGGCUGUAGCCGCCCGUUAGGUUUCCUAAAUGUACCGCACUCCUCCCCAAGGGACGAAUCAACCUUGGCAGAGCGAGCCGCAUACACCGAGCCCCAUUGACGGCACGACGGCGAAGCGAACUACACCCCGGAUCCUCUAAUUAUUCAGCUAAGGGCACCCCAUUCCACCCUCAUGGUUGCACUGUUUUCCCGGGCGGUCAUCCAUAGAACAGGUCCUUACGGAGAGGCACUCGAGAAACCGCUCGAGCCCCCUUGAAGACCACAAGUAUAACAUCAACAUAAGAAAGGGGAAAACAGCGUAUCAUAGAUAAUCUCAUCAUGUUCAUUAAUUAGAGUUGAGCAAUAGCAUAAAGCUAAAUAAUAAUAAUCCAACCCAAAUAGGUAAACAAGGACAGAGAUAACAAAAAGCUAGUCAAUCCUUAGGCAUAAAUGUGUAAAGCGGGAGGUGAAUUAAAGAAUGAAUAGGACAGAGAUAGGUCAAGGGACACUUGCCUCCACCAACCGCUUGCUGCUCACGGGCUUCUCCUGUGGGUUCCUCGGGCUCUUCAACCGGAUCGUUCUCUAUGCGAUUGCAAACAUACAUACAUCCACAUAUUUAAUACAAAAGAACAGUACACCAUACAAUAGAAUGCAAUAAGUAAACAGACGUUCCACGCGGGCUCGCGAGUACGGUUAAGAGAGAAAGAGGAAAAGACAGUCGAGAAACGAUCACGUUACAUGAUUAUAAAUUAACCACUCGCCUAAUGGAAGGAAAUUUAAUGUAGACACUAUGUUUAGCGUAAAGUAAAGUCAUGUUUCAUGUCUAAUCAUUAUAAGCAGGUGGAGUUAAAUAAAAAGGAUGGUCGCGCGGCGAGACGCGCGACAUAGCACUCUAAAACAAAUUAAGAAGUUAACGACUCGUCGCGCGACCGAGCACGCAACGAGACACUUCGCCUUAGUUAUGAGGAGACGUUAAGCGUCGCGCGACGAAACGCACGACGGCAUACGUCGACUAAACUGAGUCCAAAGUGGAACGUCGCGUGAAUACACACGCGGCGUUACACCUUAAACAACCUGAAAUUAAAAUGGAUCGUCGCGCGACGAAGCGCACGACGCAACACACAGAUAGAAUCUGAAAUUAGACAAAUCCGUCGCGCGGCGAAGCGUGCGACGCAGCACGCUAACUAAUGGAGUUUGACAUUAACUAUCGACUAACAAAUAAUCAUCGCGAGCGCGGGCGAGCGAGGACACGGUCGCGCGAGGCCGGGACGGGGGCGGGGCGACCGGGCCGGGGCCGGGGCGGUUGAACCGGCCAGGGGGGGGCGGUUGAACCGGCCAGGGGCGGCCGAGCUCGCCGAGGGCGGGCGGCCGAGCCGGGGCGGGCGCGCGCGGGCGAGCGGGGCUCACCGCGCCGCGGGAGGGCGCCGGGCCACCACGGCCGGCCGAGCCGAGGGGCGGGCGGGCGCCGCCGCGCCGGGAGGGGCAGGGGCGGGGCCGCGCCGCCGCGAGGGGAGGCCGGGCGAGGGCCGAGCGCCGCCGGGGAGGGAGGGGAGGGGCGAGCGGGGGCCGAGCGCCGCCGGGGAGGCCGGGGCGGGGUCGAGCGUCGCCGGGGAGGGAGGGGGAGGGGCCGAGCGCCGCCGCGCGGGACCGGGGAGGGGCGGGCAGGGGCGCCGCCGCGGGCCGGGGUGGGGGACCGCGCCGCCGCGCCGAGGAGGCCGAGCGGGGGCGCGCCGCCGCGCGCAGGGGGGAAGGGCGGGGGCGCGGGGGGGGGGGGGGAAGAGGAGGGAGAGGGAGAAGGGAAGGGGAGGAGAGGGGAGCUCACCUCGGGGUCCAAAAUCCGGUGAUCGCUGUCUCCAAAUCCUAGGGCACCACGGGGAGAGAGAGGUGGAAGAGGGAGAGGAGAGGUUGUUGCGCGGGAGAUCCAAAUGAGAGAGAGAGGGAGAAGGGGGGGGGGCGCAUGGGGGUUUGGGCGCCAGGGGCGCGCAGGGCCGGGCCGGACCGGGCCGGGCAGGGCUGGGCUGGGCUGGGCCGGGCCACUUCGCGGAUCGAAAACCCACGACGAGCGCGGACCACUAAAUGGAAUUAAAUCGCGAAUCGAAAUCUGGAACGGAACGAGACGAACACUCCACAUCAGACAAAGAAAUGUGCUUCGGCAUGAUGCAACACCCAUGACACUUAGGUUUUGGUUUAUACAUGACACGGACACCUGUCGCUAUACUGGUUUGAAAUUGGGAAGGAGGAGCGAAACAAGAAAGAGAAAAGAGGGUAACGCCCGAAUUUGGUGAGAGAAAAGAAGAAAAAAUUCUACCCCCAAAUUCAGGGCGUUACAAACCUAUCCCCCUUAAAAGAAUCUCGCCCUCGAGAUUCAGGGUUGGCUAGCAAAGAGCUCAGGGUAUUUAGCCAUCAGAUCAUCUUCACGCUCCCAGGUUGCUUCUUCCUCAGAGUGGUGAUUCCAUCUGACUUUGCAUAUUCUGAUGGUCUUCCUUCGGGUGACUCAGUCUGCAACCUCAAGGAUUUGCACUGGCUUCUCAACGUAGUCAAGUCCUCUUGGACUUCAAGACCUUCCACUGCAACUGCUCUUCUGGCACACGCAAGCACUUCUUCAACUGAGACACAUGAAAGACAUCAUGCACAACUGACAAAUUCUCUGGCAAACUGAGCUGAUAGGCCACUUCUCCACGCCUUGAGAGAAUUUGGUACGGACCAAUGUAGCGGGGUGCUAGCUUGCCUUUCACUCCGAAUCUUCUGACUCCUCUGAUCGGCGACACUUUCAGAUAGACAAAGUCUCCGACUUCGAAACUCAGCUCUCUUCUUCUUGUGUCUGCAUAGCUUCGCUGUCUUGACUGCGCUAUCUUCAGAUUUUCUCGGACCAUAUUGAUGUUCUCUUCAGCUUCAAGUAGAAUGUCUGGCCCAAACACUGCUUUCUCCAGGUGAUCCCAUUGCAACGGAGUUCUACAACUCCUUCCAUAGAGCGCUUGAAAUGGUGACAUCUUCAAACUGGCCUGGUAACUAUUGUUAUAGGAAAACUCUGCAUAGGGCAAUCGCUUGUCCCAUCCGGACUGAUCUUGCAACGCACAGGCUCUCAACAUAUCUUCAAGAAUUUGAUUGGUCCUUCGGUCUGCCAUCUGUCUGCGGAUGAUAAGCUGAACUGAAAUUCAGAUGUGUGCCCAAGGCUUCAUGCAACUGCUGCCAGAAAUGAGAGGUGAACUGCGUUCCUCUGUCUGACACUAUCUUCUUUGGCACACCAUGAAGACAAACGAUCCGAGACAUGAUACAUUCUGCCAAUACGGCACUGCUAUAGUUGGUCUUGACAGGUAUGAAGUGGGCUGACUUGGUCAAGCGGUCCACUACUACCCAAAUGGAAUCGUAGCCGGCUCGAGUGCGAGGCAAUCCGACUAUGAAAUCCAUACCGAUUUCGUCCCAUUUCCACUGAGGGAUCUGCAACGGUUGAACAAUCCGCUGGUCUCUGGUGCUCUGCCUUAAUUCUUCGACAACUAUCGCACAUAGCCACAUGCUCUGCGAUUUCCCUCUUCAUUCCGUACCACCAGAAUUUCUUCUUCAGAUCCUGAUACAUCUUCUCACUGCCAGGGUGAAUCGAAUAGGCUGUCUCAUGAGCUUCCUUAAGGAUCAACUCCCGAAUAGACUGGACAUUGGGAACACACAAGCGGUCUUUGAACCAUAUCACGCCUUCUGCAUCUUCUCGAAAAUCUUUGCCUCUGCCACUUAGAAUCAGUCGCCGGAUCUCACUGAUCUUCUCAUCAUUCUUCUGCGCUUCUUUGAUUUCGCGCUCUAAGGUAGGUUCCAACUCGACUGUGACUCCUCGCGAAUUGUUCAGAAAUCCGAGACUCAACUGUCAAACUCUUGGCCAACUCGUAAGGCAUCGGACGAGCGACCAUCAGAUUGACUUGACUCUUCUGCUCAAAGCAUCUGCCACUACGUUUGCUUUGCCUGGAUGGUAGUGAAUCUCCAACUCAUAGUCUUUGAUCAACUCUAACCAUCUUCGCUGCCUCAUAUUCAACUCUGACUGAGUGAAUAUGUACUUAAGACUCUUAUGAUCUGUGUAAACAUCGCAUUUCUGUCCAUACAGGUAGUGCCUCCAUGUCUUAAGUGCGUGAACCACUGCUGCCAACUCUAGAUCAUGGAUUGGGUAGUUCUUCUCAUGAACCUUCAACUAUCGGGACGAGUAGGCCACAACUCUUCCCUCUUGCAUCAACACACAUCCCAAACCUGUGUAACAAGCAUCACAAUACACCGAGAAGGGCUUGUGCACAUCAGGCAAGACUAGGACAGGCGCUGUAGUCAACUUCUCUUUCAGCGCUUCAAAGGCCUCUUGGCAUUUCUGGGUCCACUUGAACUCAACUUUGUUGCCUAGCAACGCUGUCAUUGGUUUCGCAAUCUUUGAAAACCCUUCAAUGAAUCGUCGAUAAUAUCCAGCCAUUCCAAUGAAACUCUUGAUUCCUCGGGCAUCUGUUGGCGCUUUCCAGUUCAGAAUGUCUACCACUUUCUUCGGAUCCACAACCAAUCCUUCUUUGUUGAUUAUGUGACCCAAGAAUAGGACUUCAUUGAUCCAGAAUUCACACUUGCUCAACUUUGCAUACAACUGGUGCUCUCGCAAUCUCUGCAACACCAUCUUCAAAUGAUCUGCAUGCUCUUCUUCGCUUUGAGAAUAAACCAGAAUGUCAUCAAUGAAUACCACCACAAACUUAUCGAGAUAAUCCAUGAAUACACUAUUCAUCAAGUUCAUGAAGAAUGCUGGCGCAUUGGUCAAACCAAAAGACAUCACUGUGAACUCAUACAAACCAUACUUGGUAAUAAAUGCCGUCUUCGGAAUGUCCGAAGGUCGGAUCCUGAGCUGAUGAUAACCUGACCUCAGAUCAAUCUUGGAGAACACACUGGCUCCUCUCAAUUGGUCGAACAUAUCUUCUAUUCUGGGCAAGGGAUACUUGUUCUUGAUCGUGACCUCAUUCAAAGCUCGAUAAUCGAUACACAUCCUUUGGUGCCAUCUUUCUUUUCCACGAACAAGACAGGAGCGGCCCAAGGCGAGGUGCUUGGCCGAAUGUAACCUUUCUCUGACAGUUCAUCAAUCUGCUCCUUAAGCUCAACCAACUCUAGUCCAGAUAUUCUGUAAGCUCUCUUAAAGAUGGGGGCGGUUCCAGGAAGAAGCUCUAUGGCAAACUCAACUUUCCGCCCUGGUGGCAUACCCGGUAAGUCCUUCGGAAACACAUCCGGGAACUCAGACACAACCUUGAUACUCUCAAUUGGGUCUGCUUCACUGCUAUCAAUAGCAUCUGAUAACAACUUCCUUUCUUUGGCUCAGGCGGGACUAACUCAGUCACCACUUCCUCUCCUAGUGGGGACACCAACUUGAUUGUCCUCUUAUCACAACUGAUAACUGCCUGAUACUUAUCUAGCCAAUUCAUCCCUAGGAUGACAUCUAUUCCCUGAGUACCCAUUACUAUAAGGUUGGCGGGAAACGCUAUCCCCCUUAUUUCCACACUUACGUUCAAACAAAUGCUAUCGGCUCGAAUUCUACCACCGGCUGAGUCAAUUUGAAUGGGGGUUGACAUGGUAGUAAUUGGAAGAUUAUGUGCUUCUACCCAUGAUGCAGUAAUGAAAGAAUGCGUUGCUCCAGUAUCAAAUAACACUUCUGCAAUAUGGGGUCGACUGGGAACAUACCUACUAUCAUGCCGGGGGUCUCCUGAACUGCUUCAGCCUCCAAGUGGUUCAGCCUUCCAUGAUUAUAGCGCGGCUGAGGGCGAUUGCCUGCUCCAGGCUGAGGCACAUUCUGCUUUGCUGGGGCAUUGGGGUCUGACUGCUGCUGGGUUGCCUUCUUCGGACAUUGCAUCACCCAGUGGCCUUGCUCUCCACAGUGGAAACAUGCUCUGUUUCCAACCUGAGCUGGUGCUGCCUGAUUGUUCUGCUGGUUGCUGGGGCAGGAAGACGAGGUGCUUGCUGAUUCUGCCUCUGAAACUGACCUCCUGACUGAUUGUUCUGACGGUUCUGGUACUGGUGCUGAGGAUACUGCCUUUGGAACUGCUGAUGUUGCUGAGGUGGACGCUGGUUCUGUCUGAACUGCUGAGGCUGAUUGCCUGAGAAACGAGGGGGUUGCUGCUUCCAGGCUGGGGUCCACUGAUCUUGCGCUUACGAUCCUCCAUCUCCUUACGCUUCCUCUCUGUCAUGAUUGCUCUGUCAAUCAGGUGCUGGAAUGUCGGGAAGGUGUGAUUCAUCAGCUGAUACUGAAGAGGGUCAACCAAGCCUCUCAGGAAACGGUACUGCCGCUUGGCGUCGGUGUUGACAUCUUCAGGAGCAUAGCGAGACAAUUGCAGAAACCUGUCUCGGUACUCACUGACAAACAAUGGCCCUUGCUUGAGGGCCAGGAACUCCUCCUUCUUCACUGUCAUCAGACCUGCGGGCACAUGGUACUGACGAAAGCUUCCUCUGAACUCUUCCCAGGUGAUGGCGUCAGGGUGGGCAUGGGUGGCGAGGUAAGACUCCCACCAUGAUUGGGCUGCUCCUCUCAACAGACGGGGACCAUACAGACUUUCUCCCUGUCAUCGCACUGAGCGGUAUGCAACUCCCGCUCCACAGUGCGCAGCCAGUCUUCAGCAUCCAUGGGGUCAGAAGAAUGAGCGAACGUUGGUGGAUGACCUCUCAUGAAUUCAGCACGCUUGUCUCUGGCAUCUGAGGCUGAGGCUGAGGUGGGGCCUGCUGCUUUGUUGCUGCUGCUGCUGAAUGGCGGCCAAGGUCUGACCGAUGGCUUGAACUGCCUGAGUCUGCAUCAGAAACAUCUGCUCGAUGGACAUUGGGGGCGGGGCGGCAGGUGCUGCUGCUGGGGCACCUCUUCCUGUUGAGCGGCUCGCUCCUGCUGAGCACGCCUUCCUCCUCUACGCCUGUUCUCUGACAUAUGCAGAAUGCAACCACACAUCGAACUGAUCUGGCAAAUCUUGCAGCAUAAGAAAAGAGUACAGAAUCCUUCAACAGCACUGGACAGAUGAGCAUCUUCACUGAUCUCCAAUACAGACCUCACAGCUUCUCAGAUAGAGAGGAAAGUGGAAUAAAAGGUUUCCCAACUAUAUAACUAACUCCAUUAACAUAAUAUGUAAACCAAAAUGCAGGGGAUACCCACACUCUGGUGACAAUCAUUACAAAGAUCCAAACCAAACAUAGUUCAUCAUGACAAACAUAAAUGCACAGGAUAUAGCAAACUACCCUAUCUAACUAAGACUAACUAAGACCGAGAGUAACGCUAAGACUGAAGCUUCUACGUAUAUAUAUUUUGUAUUAAUUACAGAUCCAACUCUAACGAUCUAUGGUUCUAGAGUUAUCUUGGUCUUGCAGUCGGGAUUGCCAUAAGACUGGUGUCCACGCCGAGGUGAGCGGUACGGGUGCUGAGUCCCGACGGGAGCGGGGAACCAUCAUCCAGGUGACGACGUUCCGCGCGCUCAGCCCGCAGCAGGGCGAUCUCAGCACGAGCCCUACUCAGCUCGUCUAGUGCAUGGUCCAGCUCCGUGUUUAGCACGGCGGCUAGGUUGACUGUGCUGCUCAACCUAGGAUUGCCCUCACCGACGGGUGAGACAAUCACGCCUCCUGUGCUGCCAGAUGGCCGACGGGGGUAAUACUUCAGGUCAAGACCGUCAGUUACCCCACCGAGAACCGAGCAGUAGUGCGAAAGCGCACGCCGUGCAGCAUCUUGCAUGGCUGCCUCAGCUGAUUCCCGCUCAGAGAUAGAAUAGUGCUCUGAGUAGGCCUCCGCACCCUGGAGACUGUUCUCCGGACGAUGCACCAAGCAGGUUGCCUCCCAGCGGUCCGGGUAGACCCCGCGACUAUGCUGGUAGACCACACAGCGAUACUCGAUGGACCAAGUACGCCGGUUAAGUGCCCGACGUAGCAGGGUGUCGAGCGCAUCAUGGAAGUGACACCCGCGAGCAGCGUCGCGAGUGACGGGUCGAGCAACCCAUCCUUCCGGCUCAUGGUUAGCAGAGAAGUCGGUGUCAUGGCUCGAGCUGUCGUCACCACCUCCGUCGUCUGGGUCUCCUCCAGCAGCUACUCCAGAAGCUGGGCGCCCAGUGGUGGUGCAGGGGGCGCCUCCAGGGAAGCACAGGGGAGCAGCUCCUCACGGACUCUAUCUCCUGCUGGAGCGAGAAGGAAGAGCCCUGCUGCUCCUAUCGUCGACGUUCCUGCUCCUCAUGCAGGCGGUGGUGCAGUCUCUCCAAGUGGCUGGACUGUCCGGCCACGGGACGGCGAAGCGGACGCUCAGCAAGGCGGGAGGGUAAGAAGGGGAUGACAGACUUUCGUGCAGUGUGUCUAAGUCGAGUCAUCUACAAAAGACAUCACAAGCAAAAGGGUGAGAACAGAAUCAAUAUGACCAGCAAGUAAUGAAUCAUAAAUAAAUGAAGGAUUGGAAUAAAACAUGAUUUUCGCAAGGUAUAAUAUAUAGUAGAACAUAGGUUUUGGUCGGUAUGACCAACUUUUGAAGGGAUAUCAAAGUCAAGGCAGGGACAGAGGUCUAUAAUCCUUAGAACGACCAUUCUAUUCUAGGUUAGCGGUCCUACAGUCAGCACGGCUCUGAUACCACUUAUGUCACACCCGGUUUUAGAAGGCAAACCGAAUGCGAACCAUGUACGUGCCAGGAUCAGUUAUUCACGUACACAACAGUUACAUAACAUGGACAUCAUCACACAGUGCUCAAAAUAGUAUUAAAAGGGAAAUAAUAGUCGAUUACAUCAUACGUCUGAGACGUCCAUAUAGUUCUUACAAUAAAUCAAAGUGCGGAAAAGAAACGUAGAUAAACGCGGCCUUCACAGGCAGCCGACUGGGGGUUGCCGCUAACCCACACCUAGAACUCGUCGUAGUCUUGGAACUCCUGGAAGUCUCCUUCCACAGCUUCAUCUUCGCCUGAGCAGUGGUUGCAAUGCUGACAACCUGGGGAUGGGGGGGGGGGUUUGGUGUGUAGAGCAAGGUGAGUACACAUCAACAUACUGAGCAAGUAUCCUGUUUGGCUGUAGUGGACUAGCUUUAUGUGGGGAUAAGUCAAGCAGUUGCUUUUAGUUGGUCAGAUUAUUAUUACUAGUAGAGAAAGCCAAGUUUUAGCAUUAACCCAAGUUAUUAGCCCGAUGUACCCUUUCCAAACGGAAAGAGUACCACUUACCAGCACCAUAGUCAUAACCAAAACCAUCGAUCUCAUAGCCACCGGUACCAAAGUAUCUCUGAUCAAGUACCACUAAUCACUGGAGCUCCCUUGGCCACUCAUAACCGCGAGCACGGCUGAUAUAUCAGUUUUCAAACACUCUACAGAGGUUGUGCACUUUACCCACAAGCCGUGAUUCCCUCUUGCCUCGGGCCGAUCAAACCCUUAAACACUACCAAGGUGAAUAGGCAGGGUUUCACUACGUAGCCUUUACAAAGAUUCCCCGGGGCUGUAGCCGCCCGUUAGGUUUCCUAAAUGUACCGCACUCCUCCCCAAGGGACGAAUCAACCUUGGCAGAGCGAGCCGCAUACACCGAGCCCCAUUGACGGCACGACGGCGAAGCGAACUACACCCCGGAUCCUCUAAUUAUUCAGCUAAGGGCACCCCAUUCCACCCUCAUGGUUGCACUGUUUUCCCGGGCGGUCAUCCAUAGAACAGGUCCUUAUGGAGAGACACUCGAGAAACCGCUCGAGCCCCCUUGAAGACCACAAGUAUAACAUCAACAUAAGAAAGGGGAAAACAGCGUAUCAUAGAUAAUCUCAUCAUGUUCAUUAAUUAGAGUUGAGCAAUAGCAUAAAGCUAAAUAAUAAUAAUCCAACCAAAAUAGGUAAACAAGGACAGGGAUAACAAAAAGCUAGUCAAUCCUUAGGCAUAAAUGUGUAAAGCGGGAGGUGAAUUAAAGAAUGAAUAGGACAUAGAUAGGUCAAGGGACACUUGCCUCCACCAACCGCUUGCUGCUCAGGGGCUUCUCCUGCGGGUUCCUCGGGCUCUUCAACCGGAUCGUUCUCUAUGCGAUUGCAAACAUACAUACAUCCACAUAUUUAAUACAAAAGAACAGUACACCAUACAAUAGAAUGCAAUAAGUAAACAGACGUUCCACGCGGGCUCGCGAGUACGGUUAAGAGAGAAAGAGGAAAAGACAGUCGAGAAACGAUCACGUUACAUGAUUAUAAAUUAACCACUCGCCUAAUGGAAGGAAAUUUAAUGUAGACUCUAUGUUUAGCAUAAAGUAAAGUCAUGUUUCAUGUCUAAUCAUUAUAAGCAGGUGGAGUUAAAUAAAAAGGAUGGUCGCGCGGCGAGACGCGCGACAUAGCACUCUAAAACAAAUUAAGAAGUUAACGACUCGUCGCGCGACCGAGCACGCAACGAGACACUUGGCCUUAGUUAUGAGGAGACGUUAAGCGUCGCGCGACGAAACGCACGACGGCAUACGUCGACUAAACUGAGUCCAAAGUGGAACGUCGCGUGAAUACACACGAGGCGUUACACCUUAAACAACCUGAAAUUAAAAUGGAUCGUCGCGCGACGAAGCGCACGACGCAACACACAGAUAGAAUCUGAAAUUAGACAAAUCUGUCGCGCGGCGAAGCGCGCGACGCAGCACGCUAACUAACGGAGUUUGACAUUAACUAUCGACUAACAAAUAAUCAUCGCGAGCGCGGGCGAGCGAGGAUACGAUCGGGCGAGGCCGGGACGGGGGCGGGGCGACUGGGCCGGGGCCGGGGCGGUUGAACCGGCCAAGGGGGGGGGCGGUUGAACCGGCCAGGGGCGGGCGUGCGGGCGAGCGGGGCUCGCCGCGCUGCGGGAGGGCGCCGGGCCACCACGGCCGGCCGAGCCGAGGGGCGGGGCGGGCGAGCGCCACGCGCAGGGGCCGGGGCAGGGGCGGGCGCCGCCGCGCCGGGGAGGGGCAGGGGGCGGGGCCGCGCCGCCGCGAGGGGAGGCCGGGCGGGGCCGAGCGCCGCCGGGGAGGGAGGGGGAGGGGCCGAGCGGGGGGGGGGCGAGCGCCACCGGGAGGCCGGGCGGGCCGAGCGCCGCCGAGGAGGGAGGGGGAGGGCCGAGCGCCACCGGGGAGGCCGGGGCGGGGCCGAGCGCCGCCGGGGAGGGAGGGGGAGGGGCCGAGCGCCGCCGCGCGGGACCGGGGAGAGGCGGGCAGGGGCGCCGCCGCGGGCUGGGGUGGGGGCCGUGCCGCUGCGCCGAGGAGGCCGAGCGGGGGCCGCGCCGCCGCGCGCAGGGGGGAAGGGCAGGGGCGCGCGCGGGCAGGGGAGAGGGAGGGCGUGCGGGGGGGGGGGGGAAGAAGAGGAGGGAGAGGGAGAAGGGAAGGGGAGGGGAGCUCACCUCGGGGUCCAAAAUCCGGUGAUCGUCGUCUCCAAAUCCUAGGGCACCACGGGGAGAGAGAGGUGGAAGAGGGAGAGGAGAGGUUGUUGCGCGGGAGAUCCAAAUGAGAGAGAGAGGGAGAAGGGGGGGCGCAUGGGGGUUUGGGCGCCAGGGGCGCGCAGGGCCGGGCCGGACCGGGCCGGGCAGGGCUGGGCUGGGCUGGGCCGGGCCACUUCGCGGAUCGAAAACCCACGACGAGCGCGGACCACUAAAUGGAACUAAAUCGCGAAUCGAAAUCCGGAACGGAACGAGACGAACACUCAACAUCAGACAAAGAAAUGUGCUUCGGCAUGAUGCAACACCCAUGACACUUAGGUUUUGGUUUAUACAUGACACGGACACCUGUCGCUAUACUGGUUUGAAAUUGGGAAGGAGGAGCGAAACAAGAAAGAGAAAAGAGAGUAACGCCCGAAUUUGGUGAGAGAAAAGAAGAAAAAUUUCUACCCCCAAAUUCAGGGCGUUACAGGGUCGCAGCCCAUGCAAAAUUACAUCCAGGCCCUUUGCCUUUGAUAAUAACUCUAUGGUAAUCUAUCUGAGUCUAGAUAGUCUUUUCCUCUUUAAGUGGGUUUCCUCUUUUCUGCCAUCAUGCCGAAGCUCCCUUGCGCACAGCUUCAGCUCUGCUCCAUCCUUCGUAUUGUUUCCGUGCUUCUUCAUACCGUGGGCUCUUGUUCGAAGAUCCCUGUCCAUAUAUUAUACUCCAGAGGCAUUGUUAAAUCAUGUUUUUGAGGACCUUCGGAAGCCGAAAGCUGAAAGGGAAAUGUGUCCUUGGGCCAUUUCUAAGUAUUUUGGUGAUUUAGUGUCCAAUACAAGUGCUUAAGUGUAAAAUGGUGGACAAAGUACAAAUCAAGAAUAAAGGUAUGUUUCUCAGACUUAGUAUAUUGUUUAUGGACUAAUAUAUUGUGUCUAAGUGCUGGAAACAGAAAAAAUCGAAUUGGAAUUGUCUUGGCUCGAGCAGCCAAGACUCUGCUGAGUCUGGGAGCACCGGACUGUCCGGUGGUGCACCAGACAGUGUCCGGUGGUGCAUCGGACAGUGUCCGGUGCGCCAGGCUGGCUCGAGCGAAGUGGCCGCUCUCGGGAAUUCGCCGACGACGUACGACUAUAAUUCACCGGACUGUCUGGUGUGCACCGGACUGUCCGGUGAGCCAACGGUCGGCCGGGCCAACGGUAGGCCGCGAGAUCUACGCGGGACACGUGGCCGAGCCAACGGCUAGAAUGGGGCACCGGACUGUCCGGUGUGCACCGGACAUGUCCGGUGCGCCAACGGCUCUCUGGCGGCCAACGGUCGGCUGCGCCGUUCAAGGAAAGAAAUUGGGCACCGGACAGUGUCCGGUGUGCACCGGACUGUCCGGUGCACCAGUCGACAGAAGGCAAGAUCAGCCUUCCAGAUUUGCUCUCAAUGGCUCCUAGCUGCCUUGGGGCUAUAAAAGGGACCCCUAGGCGCAUGGAGGAGUAUAUCAAGCAUUCCUACAACAUUCCUAAGCACCAAGACAUCGAUUCCACGCAUUUGGUUCAUUGUGAUAGCAUCUAGAGCUCUUGUUGAGUUGUGAACUCAUUGAGUGGUGUUACGAGCUCUUGUUGCGACUUGUGUGCGUGCUGUUGCUCUGAUUUUGAGUCUUGUGUGCGUUGCUAGUUUCUCCCUUACUCCGUAUUUCUUUGUGAAUCUUAAGUGUAAGGGCGAGAGGCUCCAAGUUGUGGAGAUUCCUCGCAAAUGGGAUAUUGAAAGGCAAAGCAAAACACCGUGGUAUUCAAGUUGGUCUUUGGACCGCUUGAGAGGGGUUGAUUGCAACCCUCGUCCGUUGGGACGCCACAACGUGGAGUAGGCAAGUGUUGGUCUUGGCCGAACCACGGGAUAAACCACUGUGUCAUCUCUGUGUUUGAUCUCUUGUGGUAUUGUGUUUUGUUGAGACUCCUCUCUAGCCACUUGGCGAUUAUUGUGCUAACACUUAACAAGUUUUUGUGGCUAUAAGUUUAAGUUUCACAGGAUCACCUAUUCACCCCCCCUCUAGGUGCUCUCAAUUGGUAUCAGAGUCGUUCUCUUCACAAAGGGACUAACCGCCCGAAGAGAUGGAUCCUAAAGGGAAGGGAAUCGUGAUCAACGACAAGGAGAAGGAGUCCUUCGUCAACGAGCCAAGGGAUGACAAGUCCAACGACUCGGGCUCGGGCCACAAACGCAAAGAUGGGAAGAAGAAGAAGACAAGACGCAUCAAGGAGAUCGUCUACUACGACAGCGAUGAGUCUACUUCCUCCCAAAAGGACGACGACCACAACGAAUACGAGAGAAAGAAACCGGUCAAUUCGAACUUUUCUUUUGAUUACUCUCGUAUUCCUCAAAGUACUAAUGCUCAUUUAUUAUCUAUUCCACUUGGUAAACCUCCUCAUUUUGAUGGAGAGGACUACGGAUUUUGGAGUCACAAAAUGCGUAGUCACUUGUUCUCUCUCCAUCCUAGCAUAUGGGAGAUUGUAGAAAGUGGAAUGCACUUUGAUAGUACGGAUAGUCCCAUGUUUAUUAAUGAACAGAUUCAUAAAAAUGCACAAGCUACUACUGUGUUGCUAGCCUCUUUGUGCAGGGACGAGUACCAUAAGGUGAGCGGCUUGGACAAUGCCAAGCAGAUCUGGGACACCCUCAAGAUCUCUCAUGAGGGGAAUGAUGUCACCUUGCUCACCAAAAUGGAGUUGGUGGAGGGCGAGCUUGGACGGUUCGCGAUGAUAAGGGGCGAGGAGCCGACACAAACAUACAAUCGGCUCAAGACCCUCAUCAACAAAAUAAGGAGCUACGGGAGCACGCGAUGGACGGACCACGACGUCGUCCGCCUAAUGCUAAGGUCAUUUACCAUUCUUGAUCCUCAUUUGGUAAACAAUAUACGUGAAAAUCCCAGGUACACCAAGAUGUCGCCCGAAGAAGUUCUUGGGAAAUUCGUUAGCGGGCGAAUGAUGAUCAAGGAGGCGAGGUACGUGGACGACGCCUUGAAUGGUCCGAUCAACGAGCCGCAACCCCUUGCUCUCAAGGCAACACGAAGCAAGGAGGCGCUACCUAGCAAGGUGGCACAGAUUGAGGCGGCCGGACUUAAUGAUGAAGAGAUGGCUCUCAUCAUCAAAAGAUUCAAGACGGUGCUUAAAGGUCGCAAGGGACAGCCAAGCAAGACCAAAGCCAAGGGGAAGCGCUCAUGCUUCAAAUGCGGUAAGCUUGGUCAUUUUAUUGCUAACUGUCCCGACAAUGAUAGUGAUCAGGAUCAAGGGAACAAGAGGGAGAAAAAGAAGAACUAUAAGAAGGCAAAGGGCGAGGCUCAUCUUGGCAAGGAGUGGGAUUCAGACUGCUCUUCGUCCGACUCCGACAAUGAAGGACUCGCCGCCACCGCCUUCAACAAGUCAUCCCUCUUCCCCAACGAGCGACACACUUGCCUCGUGGCAAGGGAGAAGAAAGUAAGCACUCAUAAUACUAGUACUUAUGCUUCUUCAAGUGAGGAUGAGUCUAGUGAUGAUGAUGAGAUAGAUUACUCAUGCUUAUUCAAGGGAUUAGAUAGAACCAAGGUAGACAAAAUUAAUGAAUUGAUUGAUGCCUUGAAUGAUAGGAAUAUACUUUUAGAAAAGCAAGAGGAUUUGUUGUAUGAAGAACAUGAUAAAUUUGUAGAAGCUUAGAAAUCUCUUGCUCUAGAAAUUAAGAGAAAUGAAAUGCUCUCUAGUGAACUAUCUUCUUGUCAUGAAACUAUUGCUAAGUUAAAGAGUUUUAAUGAUGAUUUAAAUGCUAGACUAGAAGUAGCUAGUAAAUCUAAUUCUUGUGUAGAAAUUGUUGAAACUUGUAAUAGGUGUAAAGAUUUUGACAUUGAUGCUUGUAGUGAACACCUAGUUUCAAUUUCCAAACUUAAUGAUGAAUUGGCUAGUCUUAAUGCUCAACUUAAGACUAGCAAGAGUAAUUUUGAUAAGCUAAAAUUUGUAAGGGAUGCCUACACAAUUGGUAGACACCCCUCAAUUAAGGAUGGACUUGGCUACAAGAAGGAAGCCAAGAACUUGACAAGCCAUAAGGCUCCCAUCUCCGCCAAGGAGAAAGGGAAGGCCCCUAUGGCUAGUAGUGUGCAAAAGAACCAUGCCUUUAUGUACCAUGAUAGGAGACAAUCUAGAAAUGCUUAUAGGAGAUGUAACGCAUAUGAUGCUUUUGAUUCUCAUGACAUGUUUGCUUCUAGUUCUUCUUAUGUGCAUAAUAGAAAUGUUGGUAGGAGAAAUGUUGUUCAUAAUAUGCCUAGGAGAAAUGUUGUUAAUGUUCCUAGGAAAGUAAUGAAUGAACCCUCUACAAUUUAUCAUGCUUUAAAUGCUUCCUUUGCUAUUUGUAGAAAGGAUAGGAAAAUAGUUGCUAGGAAAGUUAGGGGCAAAAUGCAAGGGAGACAAAACUUGCAUUUGGGUCCCUAAGGAUAUUUGCACUAACCUUGUAGGACCCAACAUGAGUUGGGUACCUAAGACCUAAGCCUAAAUUUGCCUUGCAGGUUUAUGCAUCCGGGGGUUCAAGCUGGAUUAUCGACAGUGGAUGCACAAACCAUAUGACGGGGGAGAAGAAGAUGUUCACCUCCUACGUCAAGAAUAGGGAUUCCCAAGAUUCAAUUAUAUUCGGUGAUGGGAAUCAAGGCAAGGUAAAAGGGUUAGAUAAAAUUGCAAUUUCUAAUGAGCACUCUAUCUCCAAUGUGUUUUUAGUUGAGUCUCUUGGUUACAAUUUGCUAUCUGUUAGUCAACUAUGCAAUAUGGGAUAUAAUUGUCUUUUUACAAAUGUAGAUGUGUCUGUCUUUAGAAGAAGUGAUGGUUCACUAGCCUUUAAGGGUGUAUUAGACGGCAAGCUUUACUUAGUUGAUUUUGCAAAAGAAGAGGCCGGUCUAGAUGCAUGCUUAAUUGCUAAGACUAGCAUGGGCUGGCUGUGGCAUCGCCGCUUAGCACAUGUGGGGAUGAAGAAUCUUCACAAGCUUCUAAAGGGAGAACACGUGAUAGGUUUGACUAACGUACAAUUCGAAAAAGACAGACCUUGUGCAGCUUGUCAGGCAGGUAAACAGGUGGGAGGAGCGCAUCACAGCAAGAAUGUGAUGACCACAUCAAGACCCCUGGAGCUGCUACAUAUGGACCUCUUCGGACCUGUCGCCUAUCUAAGCAUAGGAGGAAGUAAGUAUGGUUUAGUUAUUGUUGAUGACUAUUCCCGCUUCACUUGGGUGUUCUUUUUGCAGGAUAAGUCUGAAACCCAAGGGACCCUCAAGCGCUUCCUCAGGAGAGCUCAAAAUGAGUUUGAGCUCAAGGUGAAGAAGAUAAGGAGCGACAACGGGUCCGAGUUCAAGAACCUUCAAGUGGAGGAGUUCCUUGAGGAGGAAGGGAUCAAGCACGAGUUCUCUGCUCCCUACACACCACAGCAAAAUGGUGUGGUAGAGAGGAAGAACAGGACGCUAAUCGAUAUGGCGAGGACGAUGCUUGGAGAAUUCAAGACCCCCGAGCGUUUUUGGUCGGAAGCCGUCAACACGGCUUGCCACGCCAUCAACAGGGUCUACCUUCACCGCCUCCUCAAGAAGACGUCGUAUGAGCUUCUAACCGGUAACAAACCCAAUGUAUCUUACUUUCGUGUAUUUGGGAGCAAAUGCUACAUUCUAGUGAAGAAGGGUAGAAAUUCUAAGUUUGCUCCCAAAGCCGUAGAAGGGUUUUUGUUAGGUUAUGACUCAAAUACAAAGGCGUAUAGAGUCUUCAACAAAUCAUUGGGAUUGGUUGAAGUCUCUAGCGACGUUGUAUUUGAUGAGACUAAUGGCUCUCCAAGAGAGCAAGCUGUUGAUCUUGAUGAUGUAGAUGAAGAAGAUGUUCCGACGGCCGCUAUACGAACCAUGGCGAUGGUGAUAUACGACCACAGGAACAAAAGGAGCAAGAUCAACCUUCUUCCUCAACUUUGAUGCAUUCCCCAACUCAAGACGAUGAACAGGUUCAUCAACGAGAGGCGUGUGAUCAAGGGGGAGCACAAGACGAUCAUGUGAUGGAGGAAGAAGCGCAACCGGCACCACCAACCCAAGUUCGAGCGAUGAUUCAAAGGGAUCAUCCCGUCGACCAAAUUCUGGGUGAUAUUGGCAAGGGAGUAACUACUCGAUCUCGAUUAGUUAAUUUUUGUGAGCAUUACUCCUUUGUCUCUUCUAUUGAGCCUUUCAGGGUAGAAGAGGCCUUGCUAGAUCCGGACUGGGUGUUAGCCAUGCAGGAGGAACUCAACAACUUCAAGCGCAAUGAAGUUUGGACACUGGUGCCUCGUCCCAAGCAAAACGUUGUGGGAACCAAGUGGGUAUUCCGCAACAAACAGGACGAGCACGGGGUGGUGACGAGGAACAAGGCUCGACUUGUGGCAAAAGGUUAUGCCCAAGUCGCAGGUUUGGACUUUGAGGAGACGUUUGCUCCUGUGGCUAGGCUAGAGUCAAUUCGUAUCUUGCUAGCAUAUGCCGCUCACCAUUCUUUCAGGUUGUUCCAAAUGGAUGUGAAGAGCGCUUUCCUCAACGGGCCAAUCAAGGAGGAGGUGUACGUGGAGCAACCCCCUGGCUUCGAGGAUGAACGGUACCCGGACCACGUGUGUAAGCUCUCUAAGGCGCUCUAUGGACUUAAGCAAGCCCCAAGAGCAUGGUAUGAAUGCCUUAGAGACUUUCUAAUUGUUAAUGCUUUCAAGGUUGGGAAAGCCGAUCCAACUCUUUUUACUAAGACAUGUGAUGGUGAUUUGUUUGUGUGCCAAAUUUAUGUCGAUGACAUAAUAUUUGGUUCUACUAACCAAAAGUCUUGUGAAGAGUUUAGCAGGGUGAUGACGCAGAAAUUCGAGAUGUCGAUGAUGGGCGAGUUGAACUACUUCCUUGGGUUCCAAGUGAAGCAACUCAAAGAUGGCACCUUCAUCUCCCAAACGAAGUACACGCAAGAUCUGCUAAAGCGGUUUGGGAUGAAGGACGCCAAGCCCGCAAAGACUCCGAUGGGGACCGACGGACACACCGACCUCAACAAAGGAGGUAAGUCCGUUGAUCAAAAAGCAUACCGGUCAUUGAUAGGGUCUUUACUUUAUUUAUGUGCUAGUAGACCGGAUAUUAUGCUUAGCGUAUGCAUGUGUGCUAGAUUUCAAUCCGAUCCUAAGGAGUGUCACUUAGUGGCGGUGAAGCGAAUUCUUAGAUAUUUGGUUGCUACGCCCUGCUUCGGGCUCUGGUAUCCAAAGGGGUCUACCUUUGACUUGGUUGGAUACUCAGAUUCCGACUAUGCUGGAUGUAAGGUCGAUAGGAAGAGUACAUCAGGGACGUGCCAAUUCUUAGGAAGGUCCCUGGUGUCGUGGAACUCUAAGAAACAAACCUCCGUUGCCCUAUCCACCGCUGAGGCCGAGUAUGUUGCCGCAGGACAGUGUUGCGCGCAGCUACUUUGGAUGAGGCAAACCCUUUGGGACUUUGGCUACAAUCUGAGCAAAGUCCCACUCCUAUGUGACAAUGAGAGUGCUAUCCGCAUGGCGGAAAAUCCUGUUGAACACAGCCGCACAAAGCACAUUGACAUCCAGCAUCACUUUUUGAGACCACCAGCAAAAGGGAGAUAUCGAAGUGUUUCAUGUUAGCACCGAGAACCAGCUAGCCGAUAUCUUUACCAAGCCUCUAGAUGAGAAGACCUUUUGCAGGCUGCGUAGUGAGCUAAAUGUCUUAGAUUCGCGGAACUUGGAUUGAAUUGUAGCAUACAUGUAUUUAUGCUCUUGAUCAUGUUACUUUUUGCAUUUUGUUGUUUAGUAUGGUGCUCAAGUUGUACAAACACUCCCUGGACCUCACAAGUCCGUUGCAAAGUGAUGCACAGUUUUAGGGGGAGAUGUGUUACAACUUGACCCUUUGAGACUAACCAUAUGCUUGAGUUUGCGUGUUUUAGUCUCGAAGGAGAAUUAAAAGGGACAAGGUGGACUUGGACCAUGUAAGACUUCCACUGCACUCCGAUGAAAAGAGUAACUUUUCCAAGUUCAUCUUUUAACUCUUAUUGCCUUUGUACUCUUAUUUGAAGAUGUUGGUGAGGCAAUGGGGUUAAAGGGCCAAGAUUGAUCCCGUUUUGGUGUUUGAUGCCAAAGGGGGAGAAAAUAAAGGCCAAAGCGAUAAAUGGAUCAGCUACCACUUGAGAUAUUUUGAAAAUAGUAGAAUAGAGCGAUCAGCUACCACUUGAGAUAUUUUGAAAAUAGUAGAAUAGAGCUUUUUGUUUGUCAAAACUCUUUUAUUGUCUAUCGUGUCAAAAGUUGGCUUCUUGUGGGGAGAAAUGCUGAUUAUGGGAAAAAGGGGGAGUUUUUGGAAUCUUGAAUCAAAUACUCUUGAAAUGACUCUCUUUAUGCCUUAACAUGUGUGUUUGACUUAGAGAUAGAAAUUUGAGUUUUGAUUUGCAAAAACAAACCAAGUGGUGGCAAAGGAUGAUCCAUAUAUGCCAAAAUUGAACCAAAACAAUUUUGAGUUCUUGUUUGAAAUGUUUUUGUAUUUGUUCUACUUGCUUUAUGUUGUGUUGGCAUAAAUCACCAAAAAGGGGGAGAUUGAAAGGGAAAUGUGCCCUUGGGCCAUUUCUAAGUAUUUUGGUGAUUUAGUGUCCAAUACAAGUGCUUAAGUGUAAAAUGGUGGACAAAGUACAAAUCAAGAAUAAAGGUAUGUUUCUCAGACUUAGUAUAUUGUUUAUGGACUAAUAUAUUGUGUCUAAGUGCUGGAAACAGAAAAAAUCGAAUUGGAAUUGUCUUGGCUCGAGCAGCCAAGACUCUGCUGAGUCUGGGAGCACCGGACUGUCCGGUGGUGCACCGGACAGUGUCCGGUGCGCCAGGCUGGCUCGAGCGAAGUGGCCGCUCUCGGGAAUUCGCCGACGACGUACGGCUAUAAUUCACCGGACUGUUCGGUGUGCACCGGACUGUCCGGUGAGCCAACGGUCGGCCGGGCCAACGGUAGGCCGCGAGAUCUACGCGGGACACGUGGCCGAGCCAACGGCUAGAAUGGGGCACCGGACUGUCCGGUGUGCACCGGACAUGUUCGGUGCGCCAACGGCUCUCUGGCGGCCAACGGUCGGCUGCACCGUUCAAGGAAAGAAAUCGGGCACCGGACAGUGUCCGGUGUGCACCGGACUGUCCGGUGCACCAGUCGACAGAAGGCAAGAUCAGCCUUCCAGAUUUGCUCUCAACGGCUCCUAGCUGCCUUGGGGCUAUAAAAGGGACCCCUAGGCGCAUGGAGGAGUAUAUCAAGCAUUCCUACAACAUUCCUAAGCACCAAGACAUCGAUUCCACGCAUUUGGUUCAUUGUGAUAGCAUCUAGAGCUCUUGUUGAGUUGUGAACUCAUUGAGUGGUGUUACGAGCUCUUGUUGCGACUUGUGUGCGUGCUGUUGCUCUGAUUUUGAGUCUUGUGUGUGUUGCUAGUUUCUCCCUUACUCCGUAUUUCUUUGUGAAUCUUAAGUGUAAGGGCGAGAGGCUCCAAGUUGUGGAGAUUCCUCGCAAACGGGAUAUUGAAAGGCAAAGCAAAACACCGUGGUAUUCAAGUUGGUCUUUGGACUGCUUGAGAGGGGUUGAUUGCAACCCUCGUCCGUUGGGACGCCACAACGUGGAGUAGGCAAGUGUUGGUCUUGGCCGAACCACGGGAUAAACCACUGUGUCAUCUCUGUGUUUGAUCUCUUGUGGUAUUGUGUUUUGUUGAGACUCCUCUCUAGCCACUUGGCGAUUAUUGUGCUAACACUUAACAAGUUUUUGUGGCUAUAAGUUUAAGUUUCACAGGAUCACCUAUUCACCCCCCCUCUAGGUGCUCUCAAAAGCCCCCAACAUAACCUAUGCAAGUUAGCAAAUAUCAACACGUUAAAUACAAAUAUCAAAAAGUAUACAAGUGUAUAAAUUCAUCGAGGUACCUUUUCUUUCGAGCAAAUACAUUGUGUUCACAAGCUGACUAUUGUCUGAAAAAUCGAAAGAUCACUACACGGAAGCAUCUCUCGUUCAUCAUCAUGGUACCUUUUCUUUCGAGCAAAUACAUUAUGUUCUUCUGCAAAGUAACAACUUGUGAAGUGUGCUACCUCCUUUAGUUUAAAUUGUUCCGCAAUACAUCCUUCAACUCUUGAUUUAUUGCCCACCAUUGCUCUAAGCUUCUUUAAUGCUCUUUCUAUAUAGAGAUGGCAAUGGGUACCCGAAACCCGAAUACCCGACGGGUUUUACCCGAUAUGAAGGCGGGUACGAGAUGAUUUCUCUACCCGCGGGUACGUUAAUGGGUAAAAACCUUUACCCAUUGGGUAGACGGGUACGAGUAUGGGUUGGUACUACCCAUACCCGUCUACCCGUGGGUAAAAUAUACCCGCAUCAAUAGCACUAUAAACAUCUAAUAGAGUCCAACUUAACUAGAAUAAAACCCUUCUCUAGUUAUCAUUUGUCUAGAUACCAAGUUAUGUAAUCAUAUGAGUUGUUAUAUGUGAAAUUGAAGUUGUUUUUAUAUGUUUAUUUAAUAUUUUGAGUGAUUCGUAUAUUGGAAUUCAAUUCUUUCCUAGCGGGUACGGGUUACCCAACGGGUAAAAAUACCCGCGCGGGUACGGGUAUGGGUAAGAUUUUAUGCCCGCGAGUAUAUAUGGGUAACCCGAUGGGUAAAAUUUUUUUUGAUGGGUACGGGUAUGGAAUGGUACUACCCGACGGGUAUGUACCCAUUGCCAUCCCUAUUUCUAUAUGAAACAUCCACCUGUAUUGAACAGGACCACCGACCUUAGCCUCAUAUGGAAGAUGUAUAAAGAGAUGCCACAUAGGAUUGAAGAAACCCGGUGGAAAUAUUUUUUCCAAUUUGCACAAAAGCACCGGUGCCUCUUUCUCUAGCUGUUCCAUCACAUCUCUUUUGAUUUCUUUAGCACACAACUGUCUAUAGAAAUAGCUAACUUCAGCUAACGUUUUCCACAUAGCUUCGGAAAUGUACCCACGAAACAUUAGAGGCAUGAGCCUUUCCAUAAUUAUGUGGAAGUCAUGGCUCUUCAGUCCAUUCAUCUUCAUUGUCUUCAAGUUCAUAGAUCUUCUAAAACCAGCAGCAUAACCAUCGAGGAAUUUAAUAUCUAUAGGUAAGUAGUAAAACUAUAUAUAUACAUAAAUAACUAUAUAUAUAUACAUAAAUAACAUUAAAUUUAUCAAUAUUGAAACCUUCAUACAACCUAAUAUUAUAAGUUAAAUCUAAUCAAUAAAUAACAUCAAAUUUAACAAUUUAAUAGCAUAAGUUAAAUCUAUUAUAAUAAUAGAAUUAAUACUUAUACCUAACAUCAAGGCACACAUGUGAUAUUAAACUAACUCUAAUCACACUCUAAUCAUAUGUGAUAUUAAACUAACUCUAAUCACACCCUAAACUAACUCUAAUCACAUAAAAGUUAACUCCCGUCGGCCAUAAAAAACCAACGAAAAUAAACAUUUAUACACAUAUUUAACAAUUACACUCGCAUUUACAUUCAAUAAUUCAAAAAUUUAUAUACCUCAACAGUGCGGGGCGGCGGCGCUCGGGGAGGCGGUUGGGGGCGGCGACGUUGGGGGCGAGCCAGGCAGCGCUACGGGGCGGUGGCUUUUGGGGCGCUCCGGGACACGGCGCUGGGGGCGAGCCGGGCACGCUCCGGGGCGGUGGCAUUGGGAGCGACGGGCGGCAGGUGGCGCGUUGGAGGCGACGACGUUGGGGGCGGCGGGGGGGGGGGGGUCGGCGCGGGGGGCGCUGGAGGCCGGUGGUCGGCGAUGGGCGGCGGUCGACGAUGGGCGCGGUGACGACAUCGGUUUAGAGAGAGAGAGAGAGGAGAAUGAGCCGCGCGGGUUGUCCGCCGGCCUUCCAUAAAGCAAUAAUCCCCGUCGAUUGGCGUCAGGGCCAACAGGAGUUAACUUAAGGCCCGUCGGCUGGCGUCUGGGCCGACGGGAGUUAGCUAAUUCCUGUCGGCUAGCGCCAGGGCCGACGAGAGUUAACUUAAGGCCCAUCGGCUGCUUUAUAGCCGACGAGAGUUAACUAAUUCACGUCGGCCUUUGCUCGGGCCGACGGGAAUCUUCAGUAUUCCUGUAGUGGAUGUUGCUCCGAAGCUACGCGCAAGGGAGCUACGACUCAAUGGCGGAAAAAGGAACCGACUUAAAGGGGAAAAUGCCAUCUAGUCCCCGUUGGGUUGUCCAUAAGUCAAUAGUAAAUAUGAAGGGCAUGAAUGUAAAUUUACAUAGGCUACGCCCUGUGCCUAUAAAUAGAUGAACAUUCACGCUGACUUGUAGUGGCUUGUGCGUCACGAUUGUACUUUUACCUUCUGUCAAGCCGAAGGUAGGAAUGUAAUCCUGUGUUGUUCUUAUUCAUUCAUGAUUAUAUAAUAAAAGAUAUAUUAUGAUAGCAUAUGAUUAUCCAUGUUGUUUCCCAUGUUUCAUAUGCUUUAUCUUUCAUUGAUAUAUGUUGUGAUGAUGAAGGUAAUAAGUCCUUCAUAACCUUCGUCCGAAGAUCGUUACAUCCUUAGGGGAAUAAUGCUUCGAAGGACGAAGGACAUUAACCAUUAACCUAUUUUUGUGUUGGCUUGUUCUUAAUUCAUAGCAUUUGAGAACAAAUCCCCAACAAAUAAUAGUGCAUGAUCAUAGUCCGUGUGUAUCAUUAAUCCCAAAACCAAGUAGAGCAAUAACAAUUCUACCCAAUAAUUCAUUUAUAAGCAAGACAUACGGUAAACAAGACUACAUAAUCUAUUAGGUCCCAUCAAUUUAACCUAACAUUGAGUGCAUGGAGAGAACAUUAAUAUUGUUAGGUCAAGAAUGUGAUCAAGGACACACUUGUCUUUUUUGGUACAACUCCAGAUACUUAUCCACUUAGGGUUUAGGUUCCUCGUAACCUCACUUUUCUAUUCGCAACAAAGCAUACAAAUAGGCAAAUAAUAAAUAAAAAUAACUUUACACCAAACAUGGAAACAAAUUACAUAAUAUUAUUCUAUGUGUCAAGAUGAAUCCAUAUAUUCAAAAACCACUGAAAUCGGAGUUAAAACAAGAGAGUUAUGAAUUAACUAAGUUCCUAGAACUAUUUUUAUAAUUAAAAUCGAUUUCGAAAUUAAUUUUAUAAUUAUCAAAAAACUCUAGAGUGCGGGUACUAAAACCAAAGAUUGUAGGGUUGUUUUUAUAAAUUAUAAAGUUCUUUCUAUAGCUGCGGACUGUAGGUUAUUUAUAAACAUGACAGACACUCUUUAGCAAAUCUGGCUCAGCCGAAGGGGUAUCAUCGAAGCUAAGACGUACGAUCCCCAUCUGGAGGUCCAGAUUAGAUCGAUCUUGCGGCUUUUGAGGUGCGUGCACCAGAACCGCACAUAUCAAGGUCAACGGUCAGCACUUAAUGAAGCGAAGGGGUAUUCCUAGCUUCUAAUCCUAUCCCUCCAUCUGAGAACCAAUGGCUAGGGCUCCCCGCUGUUGUCGACGGCGAGGGGAGUAGAGCUCAUGCGCCCUCCGCAGUGGCGCCUUGUCGGAGUGCAUUGAACCCAGCAUUCCGGUGCUCCCAACUCCUCUCUAUAGCUGCUACACAAGGCAGAGAUCAUAGCGAAUAUGUUUAGGGGAAACUCACCAGCGAUUAAAGGCGCCGAUGAAGCUGUCCACACACCAUAGCGGACCUACGACGGAGAGAUGGCUUCGGCGAGCAAUUCGCCGAGCACCGAGGAUCCUCCCUGCCUGAAGAGUGAAGACACCACAACGAGCUUCGACUCAUGCUGGCGAUUUCCCCCGACUUCAUCUUGGAGUCCGAGCGACAUCGCAUGCACGGGGCGACGACGACAGCCUCUUCUCUCGCUCCGGCACGGCUCUCCCUCUUUCUUAGUUUGGUGACCUCGUCACUUUGGUUUGGG